rnacentral:tRNA from 1 species
GGGGGUUUAGCUCAGUGGUAUAAGCACCUGCCUUGAAAGCAGGCAGUUGUGAGUUCGAUCCCUG